AUGCCGUUUUUCUCUCCCCUCCACCCGCCGCCGCCGCCGCUGCCGUAUUCUCCGCCCCAUCCGAUGGCUUCUGCUAGGUUUGGUGCUGUCCAGCAGAUGGAAGACCGUGGAGCGUUCGGGACCAAGAGGUCGCGCAAUGACGUGUCUGUAUGGGAGGGUGACUGGAAUUGUCUUCAGUGUGGUAAUGUCAACUUCAGUUUUAGAAAUGUUUGCAACCGUGGAGCCUGUGGUGCACCUCGUCCAUCACCGAGUCCAAGCCCAAGAAUGAUGCCAGCGCUCGCUGGUGGUGGAUAUGAUCGGUCGCCUCUAUUUUACGGUAGCACUGGUGCCCCCCCGCCUCACAUUCCUCUUGGAUCAGCUAGCUAUGGUGCUCCAUAUCCGCAUGUUGGAAUGCGGUAUGGUUAUGGUCCACCAGUUGGACCUCAUGGCUCAUAUGGUCUCAGUUCUUAUGGCCAACCUGGUCCAAUGGGGGGGAUGGGUUAUGCCCACGGACCUGAGUUGGGUCGAUAUGGACCUGAGUUGGGUCGAUACGGCUAUGGAUUUAGAGGAUCUCCAAUGCCGGUUUCUAGCCCAUGGUCUGAUGGAGCAUUAGUGGAAAAUAAUAACAGCACUGCUUCACGAAAGCGGCGUGGAGGCCCACAUGGACUGUCUGAGGGUGACUGGGAAUGCCCCAAGUGUGGUAAUGUAAAUUUUGCCUUCAGAAACACUUGCAACAUGAAGAAAUGUGAAGAACCAAGGCCGACUCCUGGAGCUAAUUCGAGCUCGUCGUCUCGCAAAGACAAAGAUACCCCAGAAGGGAGCUGGACCUGUCCGGAGUGCAAUAACCUGAACUACCCCUUCCGCACAGUGUGCAAUCGGAAAGGGUGCUCAUGUAGUAAGCCAGACUCAUCAAGCAACUAG
rnacentral:rRNA from 1 species